AACGAACGCUGGCGGCAGGCUUAACACAUGCAAGUCGAGCGCCCCGCAAGGGGAGCGGCAGACGGGUGAGUAACGCGUGGGAAUCUACCCAUCUCUACGGAAUAACGCAUGGAAACGUGUGCUAAUACCGUAUACGUCCUUCGGGAGAAAGAUUUAUCGGAGAUGGAUGAGCCCGCGUUGGAUUAGCUAGUUGGUGGGGUAAAGGCCUACCAAGGCGACGAUCCAUAGCUGGUCUGCGAGGAUGAUCAGCCACACUGGGACUGAGACACGGCCCAGAAUCCUACGGGAGGCAGCAGUGGGGAAUAUUGGACAAUGGGCGCAAGCCUGAUCCAGCCAUGCCGCGUGAGUGAUGAAGGCCCUAGGGUUGUAAAGCUCUUUCACCGGUGAAGGUAAUGACGGUAACCGGAGAAGAAGCCCCGGCUAACUUCGUGCCAGCCGCCGCAGUAAGAC
rnacentral:rRNA from 1 species